AUCCAAGUCCACACCGCCUCUCAUCUGGACCACGGCAGAGACCUCCUGCACUGCCCCCUCCCCUCAAUCCCUCAUCAGCACAUCAGCCAGAGGCUCCCUGGAGAACAGAAGGGGCUCAGAACCCUGCAGCAGUGUCCACUGCACACACAGGAAGAACUCAAGUGCCCGUAGGUGGUGAGUUACUUCCUUAUGCAUUGUGGUGACCCGGAUCAUCUGCCUCCCCGAAACCUGCACAUGCACUCUAAUAAUGCAAGCUACGAACGGGUGGUCACCUUUGCCAGCUGUCAUCCCAAACAGCUGGCAUGGGGCAUGCACACAGUAGGUGCUUAAUAAGUGUGUGUUGGGUUAAGAUAGGCCCAAAGCCAUUUCAAACGUCCAGGCAGUGGUGUAAGCAGGGGUCAGCUCUGAAGCUGGCCUCCUCUCAUUCAGGAGACCCUCAGAGGUCCCAGCCUCCAGGGUGAGGCCGUCAGAGCAACACUUCUCAGUGUACAUCUGGCUGUGUCCCUGCCAGCCCUAAUAGGGCGAUCCCUCUCUCUAGACUCACUUUCUGCCCCGUCACCCCACUGUACACCCUUGGUGCCAGCCCCUUCCAGUGGCUCAGCUUCCUGAACACUCCAAGCCUAGGCUCACCUCUAAGCCAUUAUCCAGGCUAUUCUCUCAGCCAGGAUGCCCUUCCCAUACCCGACCUUUAAGACUGGCUGAGGCAGCACCUCCUCUGAGAGGCCUUCUCUCCCAAACCUGAGCCUAGAUGAGAUAAGGCCCUUCCUUCCUCCAGUCAGCCUGGAUCCUCUCAUCUGGCAGAACUGUUGCCCUGCUUCUCCGAAGCAGUGAACGCCCUAGGGCUGGGGACGCACAGGCUCACUGGCCCAUAACCGAAGCCGCUUCCUCUGGAGGAGGAAGUCCAGGGGUCCCAGGGUUCUACUUGCUUUUUUCUUCACCCAGCCCAAAGGGCAAUUUUCCCACAUUCCCUCAGAAACAGGAAGUUCCCCUACCCACACCGAGCCCAUUCAUGACCAAAAAAAAAAAAAAAGUCUAUCCAAUUUCCUCUGCUCAACCAGUUCCCCGGCUACCUGAGACCCUGCUUCACCUGGAGGAAGACAGUGGCACUGCACCCGUGGGCUUGCUGAGAAACAAACUCACAGAAGGCGGAUUCAUUGGACAAAAGGUAUUUGGUCCCCAAAUUUAUUGACGUGUGUGAACAGGAGCCUUCAGGACGAAGACCCAAAGAUAUGGGGAAAAUUGCCAUUUUUGAUGCUUAGGCUCAACAAAAUAUGGACAUCCAUGAGGGAACACAGAUUAAUCAAAGGACCUGCGCUAAUGCUACUGGACCACAAGGGGAAGCGCAGCGAGGGUUGUUGGUCUAGAUUUCUUGAACUUUCUGAGCAGCAUUCCUUCCCUCUGGGCGUGGGGUAGGACCCUCCUGGAAUGGGGUCUUAUGCCCUACAGUCAAACAAGGCAGGUCAGAUAAUUUCUUUAUGGCCAGUUUCUGAACACAAAGGUGGAGCAAUAUUUUUAGGUUUGAUGUCUGGCUGUGGGGAAAGGGGGGCUCCGAUUUCUAUGACCUGCCCUGGGGAAAAUGGAUUCUAGUUUCUAUGACCUGCUUCGGGGAAGAAUGGCGCUGAGAGACAGCAGAGCAAGAGAAGGUCAGAGAAAAAACCUUUUGCUUCCGAAGCUGCUUCUGAAGCUGCUUCAUUUUGGGGUAUUAUUUUCUGAUCCCCGACACCUGAGCUGCUGAACCAAGGGUAGCCUGACCCACUCCCACAUGACUUAGAAUAGCUUCACCAGCCGGCCUUGGGCUACCUGGCUCUGGCCCCCUGCCCACCAGGAUUUUGGCCGGCUCUCACUUGCCUCUGCGGUGUCUGUCUCACUCUCUCUCACUCCUGCAGUUUUCUGUUCUGUUGAGUGAUGAUUGACACAUGACAUUGGUUUUGACAUUUGAGCCUGUGCCCAGCCACAGGUAGGUGGGGCAGGAGUCCUGAGUGAGCAUCUCCCUCCUUAGUGACAGUCAGGGGGCACAGAGAAUGGUGCCCAGACCAAGGUCAGGGCCUGGGCCAAGUGUGCUCAGCACGUGGUGUGUGUGCUCAAGCGG
ensembl:lncRNA